rnacentral:lncRNA from 1 species
UGCCUGCACUGUGGUUAGUUUGGGCAGCCACAUGUCGAUCUUCCCCAGUAGUCUGACGUAUGCAUGAUUCUAUUAAACACAGCUUGGACAGGAUGUUCUUUCCUGAUUUGGAUUAAAUGAGAUUGUGUGAGCCAAGCAUGCAUAAAUUCUCAACUUGGUCAUGUCCAUGGCUGACACAGGCACCUCCUCUUCCAGGCUGCCUUUGAGUCAAUCCCCAUCUGCUGUCACGUACCUGUACAACAGGGCAGAAGCUCACACACAAUGGUCAUAAUGGCUUCCCCUGAAGAUCGCUUCUGGUCAGGGGGGCAAAGUGGACCCUACUUAGAUACUACAGCCCUGUGACCUCAGGUUUGGCUAGAGGGAUGGACAUGAGGCUCAGGCAGCCUAGAAAAGGGAAAUAAGACAUAACUUCUUAGAGGAGCUUUUUGUACUGGGCCUUGAGGGUUAAGUAGGAGUUCCUUGGGCAGAAUAGCCUGUUGGUAAGGUCUUAGAUGAUUCACAAGGACCUGGCUCAGGCUAGUACAGUAAUCCCUCAGUUCACAAACACUUGUGAACAAUUUGGUUUACAAACAGGAGUGUUCAGCAAAACUUUUUGUUCUGCAUCAAGUGACAAAUAUGACCACGGCCAUCUUCCCCAGUAUUGUGGAACAAAUUAAGUUCACGAACUGAGGGACCAGUUUGUCUUCUCUGUAUUUUUCUGGAGGUUGAACUCAGUGGGUACUGAAGGUCUUACUAAGUUCCCCAUGCUAGCCUCAAAUUUGUGAUCCUCCUGCCUCAGCCUCCCAGUAUCUGGGAUUACAUGUGUGCCCCAUCAUGCUGGACUCUUUUCUUUGUGUCAUGUGUACCAUUGAGAGGUGUCCUUCUGUUGCAGACUUAGAGGUUAUGAAUAUCAUUCCAACAUGACUCUCCAUCUUUUCCUCUCUUCGUGGUCUACCCUUCCCACUGCUGCACUGGAAAGUGAGGGAGGUUCCUCACGCCAGCUCUGCCGCCUCUCACGGUCCCUCCUUUUCUAGUCAGUUUCAUUCUUGACCACUUCAAUACUUUGGUGGCACACACCUGUAAUCUCAGCACUCGGGAGGCUGAGGCAGGAGGAUCACUGUGAGUUUGACGCCAGCCUGGGCCUACAUAGCCAGACACUGUCUCAAAAGAAAAAAGAAAAAGAAAAGCUGAGCGUGGUGGCACACAGAUCAUUCUAGCACUGGAAAAGCUGAGGCAGGAGGAUCACACAUUUGAGCCCAGCCUGAGCAACGUGAUGACUCAGCGAGCCCGUCUCAAAACGAAAAAUACAAAGGGCUGGGGAUUGAGCUCAGCAUGAAGGCCCCGGGUUCCAUCCUCAGCACUGCAAAAAUAAAGAAUAGUGGGCUGGGGAUUUAGCUCAGUGGUUCCGCCGCCUGCUGUGCAAGUCCAAGGACCUGAGUUUGAUCCCGGGUACAAACAAAAAACCAAAAAAAAAAGAAUAGUAAAAUAGAUCAAAGUCCACAAUGAGCCUUCCUCUACUUUUCUGAUGUUCUGCACCUGCUCUUUUCUCCAGAUUGUGUUGCCUAAGAUUCAUCUACUACUGUUUUCGAACGUUUUUUAUUUUUUUUGGUACCGGGGAUCAAACUCGGGUCCUUGUGCUUGCGAGGCAGGUAGUGGCACCAGCGAGCUAAAUCCCCGGAUCAACGUUUUUGAUCUUGUUAAUGCAAAAGGACCACUUCAGAUGCCCACUCAAUUCUGACUUUCAUCUGUUUCUUGUUCAUUUGGGUUUAUCCUGUUCUUUCAGAGCUAUUUGAAUUGGACCUUGACUCAUUUAAUAUUUUCAAAACUUGUUUUAUUAUCAGUUGUAUCCAAAGGUAUGACUUUUCUUCUGAAUAUACCUUUGGCCGCACUGCAGGGGCUUCAUGACAUUCAUUUUGGAUUUCUGGUUUUCCUUUUGGUUUGUCUGGAAGCAGGAUCUAAGUGUCUGAGUUGCCUGGGCUGGGCUUGAACUCAAGAACCUCCUGCCUCAGCCUCACAAAUCUGCCAGUGCCAAUUUUGACACCUAUUUCAUCUGUGGUUAGGGUUAUUUAGGUCUAAUUUUUUUUUUUGGUACUGGGGAUCGAACUCAGGUCCCUGCGCUUGCGAGGCAGGCGGUGGAACCACUGAGCUAAAUCCCCGGUGCUAGGACUAGUUUUUGAUGCCUUGCUCUGCUGGUGUUUGAAGGGCGCCCCCUCAGGACGGUGCUUCCACGAAGCCCCUGCUGUGCUCACUGCGCUAGCCUGCUGUCCCGGUCCCGACAGGAGGUGCAGACUCAGGGUGCAGUGCCCUCUAGCCCCAGCCCGUGCUGGUUCGGCUGUGGUUCUGCUCCAGGGUGGCCCAGGCUGUCCCCUCCCCAUGGCCUGUGUCCCCAGGGCUCCCUGGAGAAGGCAGUGGCACUCACGGUGCUUGGCACUGGGCUCAUGAUGCGCUGAGGGCUUAAGAACGACUCCACAGGGCCGGGUCGGACGAUCUCCCUUUAAUACAAAGUUGGUUUAUCUACAUACAGAGGUGGGAAACCACCCAGCUGUUUCCGUUUGAAUAAAGUGUUGAAAGCAACGGCAGAUCUGCUCUUAUACAAAGAGAAAAAUCCUGGCGGGGCCGGUGGGGACAGGGCCGAGUCCCGUGCUGCCCCACCCUCAGGACCAUACUUGAUAUGUCUGAAAAUCUAAUUAAAAAACAGUAGGGGGCAAAAAAGGAAGAAUAGAAACCAGGAAGAAAAGGACAUCUCAUUCUUACGUGGGCAGGGGGGCCAGGUCAGGCACAGCUUGCGACAUGGGAGGAAAAACAAAACACAGGAGAGCCAGCUGAAGGAACCUUGGUGGGUCAGGCCCGAGUUCUCGACUGACUCAUGGAUCACAGAGGACGUGUUCUACCGUGAAAAAAUAGACUGUCUUUGAACAGAAUAUGAAAAGCAAAGUCAUUCUUUUUUAAAGUCCUUGACUGGCAAGUCUUUUUUUUGUUGUUGUUUUUUCUUCUUUUAAAAAAAAUGGAAAAAAAAAUACACUAUUUAAAAAAAAAAAAAAAAAAAAAAAAAAAAAAAGGAAAUGUCACCAGAUACAGUUACACUGAGAGGGUAAAAGAAAGCGGAGUUCUGCCCAUGCCCCUGCCCGGCCCAGCACCCCAGGCUGGGGACAGAAAGGGGCUCCGGCCGACCUGGGAGGACAGGGCGGUGGUGGCCGGCGCCCGCCCUUUGGGGUCCAAGAGUCCCCGACUGCACGCCGCCUCCCCACCCGAGUCUGGGUUUGGAAUCACAAGGAAACAGGAAUGUUCCGAGUACGUGAUGCUGGCGGCCAGGCCAGGGCCUGCCGCGUUGGCCGGGCCUUGUGGGGGGCUCGGGAGGCCACUUUGUCCCGGGGACCCCGUAGCCGCCGCCGCAGCCUGUGUGCCCAGCCGCGGGGUCUGCUCAGCGCAGCUGCACGGGGGCUUCUGGGCCGGGGACCUCAUGGCUUUAUGUUGCAUAGUGGUCAAAGCUGCCGAGGUACUCCAGCGAUGCCUGGUAGCAGAACUGGUACUCAUCCUGUGGGGACAGCAUGGUGGCUGUCAGGGCCUCCCUCACUCUAAGCUCUCCCAGGGCUUCCUGGGGCUCCGGGAGUAGCCAAGCACCCAGGCUGUUCCCGCUCUCUCGUCAGGUUGCUCUGUUUUCACACAGGCAGGGACCCCCAAAACACCCUCUGCUCCCCCUUCAGACCAGGCUGCUCAGCUGGCCCCGCCCCAGCUAGGGUCAGUGGUCCAGCUCAGGCCCCAGACAUGGACUCAUCACAGCCACCGGGAACUUGGUCCCUGGGGAGUCCCUUCUACCCUGGGCCUC